GAUGAACGCUGGCGGCGUGCCUAAUACAUGCAAGUCGAGCGAACAGACGAGGAGCUUGCUCCUCUGACGUUAGCGGCGGACGGGUGAGUAACACGUGGAUAACCUACCUAUAAGACUGGGAUAACUUCGGGAAACCGGAGCUAAUACCGGAUAAUAUAUUGAACCGCAUGGUUCAAUAGUGAAAGACGGUUUUGCUGUCACUUAUAGAUGGAUCCGCGCCGCAUUAGCUAGUUGGUAAGGUAACGGCUUACCAAGGCAACGAUGCGUAGCCGACCUGAGAGGGUGAUCGGCCACACUGGAACUGAGACACGGUCCAGACUCCUACGGGAGGCAGCAGUAGGGAAUCUUCCGCAAUGGGCGAAAGCCUGACGGAGCAACGCCGCGUGAGUGAUGAAGGUCUUCGGAUCGUAAAACUCUGUUAUUAGGGAAGAACAAAUGUGUAAGUAACUAUGCACGUCUUGACGGCACCUAAUCAGAAAGCCACGGCUAACUACGU
rnacentral:rRNA from 1 species